rnacentral:rRNA from 1 species
CACUUCUAAGGAAGGCAGCAGGCGCGCAAAUUACCCAAUCCUGACUCAGGGAGGUAGUGACAAGAAAUAACAAUAAACCGGCUUAUGCCGGUUUAAUUGGAAUGAGUACAAUUUAAACAUCUUAACGAGGAACAAUUGGAGGGCAAGUCUGGUGCCAGCAGCCGCGGUAAUUCCAGCUCCAAUAGCGUAUACUAAAGUUGUUGCAGUUAAAAAGCUCGUAGUUGGAUUUCUGUGGGGACGGAGCGGCCGGCCGCAACACGCGGUUCGAGCUAGCGCUUUCCCUACAUCCUGCCGCGAACCGUGCUACCAUUAGUUUGGUGGCGCCGGGGAUCGGCUCGAUUACUUUGAGAAAAAUAGAGUGUUCAAAGCAGGCCACACGCCUUGAAUAAGUUAGCAUGGAAUAAUAACUAAGGACUUCGGUUCUAUUUUGUUGGUGUUCGGGACUGAAGUAAUGAUUGAUAGGGACAGUUGGGGCGGUCUGUAUUCCAAAGCGAGAGGUGAAAUUCUUAGACCUUCGGAAGACAAACAGCUGCGAAAGCGUUCCGCAAGGAUGUUCCCUUUGAUCAAGAACGAAAGUUGAGGGAUCGAAGACGAUCAGAUACCGUCGUAGUCUCAACUAUAAACUAUACCAGCUAGGGAUCGGCCAACGUUAUUUAAACCGACUUGGUCGGCACCUUAUGAGAAAUCAAAGCAUCUGGGUUCCGGGGGGAGUAUGGUCGCAAGGCUGAAACUUAAAGGAAUUGACGGAAGGGCACCACCAGCCGUGGAGCCUGUGGCUUAAUUUGACUCAACACGGGAAAACUUACCAGGUCCAGACAUAGUAAGGAUUGACAGAUUGAUAGCUCUUUCUUGAUUCUGUGGGUGGUGGUGCAUGGCCGUUCUUAGUUGGUGGAGUGAUUUGUCUGGUUAAUUCCGUUAACGAACGAGACCCCAGCCUGCUAAAUAGCGCGCGUGAGCUUUGCUCGCGGCGAGCUUCUUAGAGGGACUCUGAUGCGCGAUAGCACAUGGAAGUUUGGGGCAAUAACAGGUCUGUGAUGCCCUUAGAUGUUCUGGGCCGCACACGGGCUACACUGGCGCCUGCAACGAGCAUAUCAGCUGGCCCGAGAGGGUCUUGGCUAAUCUUUUGAACCGGCGCCGUGCUUGGGAUUGACCUUUGCAAUUGUUGGUCAUGCAACGAGGAAUGCCUUGUAAACGCGAGUCAUCAGCUCGCAUUGAAUACGUCCCUGCCCUUUGUACACACCGCCCGUCGCUCCUACCGAUGAAUGUUCCGAUGAAAUUUUCGGAGAGUGCCUGUGAACUUGGCUCUGCCUUGCGAACGGGAAGCUCAAAGUCACUUAAAUCUGAACAUUUCG